rnacentral:tRNA from 1 species
AGCAGUUUAGGUUAAUGGUAAAGCACUUGACUGGAAAUCAAAAGGAGGUGAGUUCGAUUCACAUGGCUGGUU